rnacentral:lncRNA from 1 species
GAGGAAAGGAGGGAAGCUAUAGAGAUGGAUCAGUCUAGAGAUGACAGCAUGGGUAUAGGCAGUUUUGAGGAAGGUAUGGGAGAGUCGCAGGGAGGUGCUCAGGCCUCAGGUUUUGGCUAUCCAUCCUUGUUUCAGGAGCCAGAGUAUCCGAUGGAGGGGAUGUCGGAGUACUCUCGAUUUGACCCAUAUCCUACAUACAUGCCAUAUAUGCCAUAUCCUCAGUAUUACCCAUCAUAUCC